rnacentral:snRNA from 1 species
GUGCUCACUUCAGCAGCACAUAUAUUAAAAUUGGAAUGAUGUGGAAAAGAUUAGCAUGGCCCCUGUACAAGGAUGACAUGCAAAUUUGUGAAGCUUCCAUAUUUAA